UACGUAGGGGGCAAGCGUUGUCCGGAAUCAUUGGGCGUAAAGCGCGUGUAGGCGGUCCGGUAAGUCCGCUGUGAAAGUCGGGGGCUCAACCCUCGGAUGCCGGUGGAUACUGUCGGGCUUGAGUACGGAAGAGGCGAGUGGAAUUCCUGGUGUAGCGGUGAAAUGCGCAGAUAUCAGGAGGAACACCGGUGGCGAAGGCGGAUCUCUGGGCCUUACCUGACGCUGAGGCGCGAAAGCUAGGGGAGCAAACAGG
rnacentral:rRNA from 1 species